GUGAAUCAUCAAAUUUUUGAACGCAAAUUGCACUCUCCUCGGAGAGUAGGCCUGUUUGAGGGUCAGCGUAAUUAAAAUCGUCGUUGUUGCUACCCGGUGUGGUGUUUGAUGCAUCGGAACUGAGUCGUUCUUUACCUUUGGUUUAAGUGACUUAAAAUUAUGUUCGAUGUUUGAACGUAUUUAAAUUAUUACUUACGUUCGUAAUAGCACAUAUUAGCUGCGUUCAUUCACAUG
rnacentral:misc_RNA from 1 species